rnacentral:rRNA from 2 species
AACGUAGGACACGAGCGUUAUCCGGAGUUACUGGGCGUAAAGGGCGUGCAGGCGGUUUUGUAAGUUUGAUGUGAAAGCGCCCGGCUUAACCGGGCGAGGACAUUGGAGACUGCAAGACUAGAGGCAGAUAGAGGGGUGUAGAAUUCCGGGUGUAGUGGUGAAAUGCGUAGAGAUCCGGAGGAAUACCAGAGGCGAAGGCGGCACCCUGGGUCUGACCUGACGCUGAGACGCGACAGCAUGGGGAGCGAACGGG